AUGCUCGUGGCCGCGCUGAGGCACAUGCUGCGCCGCGUCCUCGCCGGCCUCCGCGCGCUGCACCCGCGCACGCGCAGGCGCCGGCAAGGCGGCGCUGGGGCUGGCGCUGCGGCCGGUGUCGGAGCGGCGACGGUGCCCAAGGCGCGCGUGACCGUGCGCCGGCUGGGCAGCAACGGCGGGAGCAGGAAGGCCGGUACCCUGCGCGGCGGUGCUGAUGGGUCGGCGCCGGGCGAGGGACGGCAGCCGGUGACCAUCCGCGUGGCGACGUUCAACGCGGCGCUGUUCUCCAUGGCGCCCGCGGUGGCCGCAGUCCCUGAAGCGGGAGCGGAGCGCGAGGCCGCGCGCCGGAGCGGCGCCGGCACGGGCACGGGCGCGCGGCCGCGGCCCAAGGGGAUCCUGAAGGCGCAGGCGAGCCUGCUGUCGCGGGCGCCGAGCAAGGCGCGCGUGUCCAUCAACCUGCAGGACAACGAGAUCUCCCUCGACCGGAGCGGCAAGCUCGGCAGCCCGAGGGCCCGGAAGCCGCAGUCCCGGCUGCAGCAUCAGGUGGUCGUGGGCGGGCUGGACGCGAGCCGGCGGCGGAGCGUGGAGGAGGUGCUGCGGGAGACGGGCGCCGACAUCAUCGGGCUGCAGAACGUGCGCGCCGAGGAGGAGCGCGGGAUGCGGCCGCUGUCGGAGCUGGCGGGCGCGCUGGGCAUGCGGUACGUGUUCGCCGAGAGCUGGGCGCCCGAGUACGGCAACGCCGUGCUCUCCCGCUGGCCCAUCAAGCGCUGGAAGGCGCUCCGCGUCGCCGACCAGUCCGACUUCAGGAACGUGCUGAGGGCCACGAUCGAGGUGCCGCGGGCCGGGGAGGUGAACUUCCACUGCACGCACCUGGACCACCUGGACGAGAGCUGGCGGAUGAAGCAGGUGGACGCCAUGCUCCGCUCCGUCGACGGCCCCCACAUCCUCGCCGGCGGCCUCAACGCGCUCGACGGCACCGACUACUCCGCCGACAGAUGGGCCGACAUCGUCAAGUACUACGAGGAGAUCGGCAAGCCGACGCCCAAGGUGGAGGUGAUGAAGUACCUCAAGGGGAAGCAGUACGUGGACGCCAAGGAUUUCGCCGGAGAGUGCGAGGCCGUGGUGGUCGUGGCCAAAGGCCAAGACGUGCAAGGGACGUGCAAGUACGGCACGAGGGUGGACUACAUUCUCGCGUCGCCCAGCUCCCCCUACAAGUUCGUGCCGGGGUCCUACACGGUCGUCUCCUCCAAGGGGACGUCGGACCACCACAUCGUCAGGGUCGACGUCACGAUAGUGCCGGACACGAGGGACGCGGACGAGCAGGCCGCCGGGGGCCGGAAGCAGAGGGUGGUGAAGAUGAGCAAGAAGGGGUCCAGAAAAGGGAUAUGGGCGGCCAAAUGA
rnacentral:rRNA from 1 species